UUCCAAACGUUUCGACGUUCCUGCGUUAUCUAACAGCAAUAGCUGCGAUAUCUGAUAACAAGCAUGCCCACAUUUAUUCAAGCUGGCAUCGUCUUCCUAUUAUUGUGUUGGACGUGGUGCAUUGUUCAAGCAUGCAAACACAACGAGCACAAAGUCAAGUGCUAUCAUCAUGUGGGCGUCCCCGGAGAUCUGUGCCCAGGAGUGAAGAGAUGGCCAUGCAGCGGAACGAAGAAAAGGUGUGCAUGUGUCCCGGGAACAUCCCAGAGGUGGGACGGCUACUGCGUCCCGCACAGAGACUGCGUCUUCAGGACCCACCAACCAGAUAAG
rnacentral:lncRNA from 1 species